rnacentral:RNase_P_RNA from 1 species
GUUGCAGUCUGUUCUAUCGCUAUGGGAAAGCCCGUAGAGGAAAAUCCGGACAACGUAGAGAGUCGCACCACCUAACUGGUGGGCUUUGGUUUCUUGAAAACCAAAGACAGAAUAGUGCCACAGAAAACAAACCGUCCCCCAUUCCGAAGAAAUUCGGGAAGGGGGAUAAGGGUGAAAACGUGCGGUAAGAGCGCACGCUGUCAUGCAGUAAUGUGUGAUGGGGGUAAACCUUGCGAGUUGAAAUGCCAAAUAUAUUUCGGUAGGUCCGAAAGUGACCUUCCUGGUUUCUCGCCGGGAUCUUAAUCCACCGCUUUGACAUUGAUCAGAAACGUGGUGACGUAAAGUCAGGGCCGGAAGGGGUAGGCAGCUCGAUCCGGAUGGUGACAUCCGGGCUAGAUAAAUGAUAGAAUAUCUGUACUGGCUUAACCAGAGAAGAUAACAGAAUCCGGUUUACAGGACUGCAGCUUUU